CAGCCGCCGCGGUAAAACGGAGGGGGCUAGCGUUGUUCGGAAUUACUGGGCGUAAAGCGCACGUAGGCGGCUUGGUAAGUUAGAGGUGAAAGCCCGGAGCUCAACUCCGGAAUUGCCUUUAAGACUGCCGAGCUAGUAGGUGAGAGAGGUAAGUGGAAUUCCGAGUGUAGAGGUGAAAUUCGUAGAUAUUCGGAAGAACACCAGUGGCGAAGGCGGCUUACUGGCUCAUUCUAGACGCUGAGGUGCGAAAGCGUGGGGAGCAAACAGGAUUAGAUACCCCCGUAGUCCCUGUCUCUUAUAC
rnacentral:rRNA from 1 species